AACGAACGCUGGCGGCAGGCCUAACACAUGCAAGUCGAGCGAGGACUUCGGUCCUAGCGGCGGACGGGUGAGUAACGCGUGGGAACGUGCCCUUUGCUUCGGAAUAGCCCUGGGAAACUGGGAGUAAUACCGGAUGAGCCCUUUGGGGGAAAGAUUUAUCGGCGAAGGAUCGGCCCGCGUUGGAUGAGGUAGUUGGUGGGGUAAUGGCCUACCAAGGCGACGAUCCGUAGCUGGUUUGAGAGGAUGAUCAGCCACACUGGAACUGAGACACGGCCCAGACUAGUACGGGAGGCAGAAGUGGGGAAUAUGCGACAAUGGGGGAAAGCGUGAUGGAGCAAGACCGGGGGGGGGAAGAAGGCCUUAGGGUGGUAAAACCCGGGUGUUGGGAAAGAAAAGAAGCGGGAGAAUACAGGGAUGGGAUGAAGGUACCUAAAGAAUAAGCAACGGCUAACUUCGUG
rnacentral:rRNA from 1 species